GCCGGCCGCAGCGGGUGACAGCCCCGUACGCGAACCCAGACCGGACGGCGCGACGCGGUCCCUGAGUAGGGCCGGGCACGUGAAACCCGGUCCGAACCUGGGUGGACCACCAUCCAAGCCUGAGUACUACCCUGUGACCGAUAGCGCACCAGUACCGUGAGGGAAAGGUGAAAAGCACCCCGGGAGGGGAGUGAAACAGUACCUGAAACCGUGCGCCCACGAGCAGUCGGAGCAACUUUCAGUUGUGACGGCGUGCCUUUUGUAGAAUGAGCCAGCGAGUCGCUGGCGCGGGGCGAGGUUAACCGAAAGGGAGCCGUAGCGAAAGCGAGCCUUAACAGGGCGACUUGAGUCCCGCGCCGCGGACGCGAAGCCGGGUGAGCUAUCCGUGGGCAGGCUGAAGCGGGGGUAAGACCCCGUGGAGGGCCGAACGCACGUCGGUUGAAAACGGCGGCGAUGACCUGCGGAUAGGGGUGAAAGGCCAAUCAAACCCGGAGAUAUCUCGUUCUCCCCGAAAUAGCUUUAGGGCUAGCGUCGCGCGUUCACCGCCGGAGGUAGAGCACCGGAUGGACGAGGGGGCUUCGCCGCCUACCGAAUCCAACCGAACUCCGAAUGCCGGCGGCCCAGAGCGCGGCAGUCAGAGCAUGUGGGCUAAGCUGUGUGCUCGAGAGGGAAACAGCCCGGACCGCCCGCUAAGGUCCCCAAGUUCCAGCCGAGUGGCAAAGGAUGUGCGUCCGCCCAGACAACCAGGAUGUUGGCUUAGAAGCAGCCAUCCAUUCAAAGAGUGCGUAACAGCUCACUGGUCGAGUGGACAUGCGCCGACAAUACACGGGGCUAAGCUGGACACCGAAGCGGCGGGAUUUUGAUUUACAGAAUCGGUAGGGGAGCUUCCCAUGGGCGGAGAAGCCGGAGGGCGACCGACGGUGGAGCGCAUGGGAGUGAGAAUGCUGGCAUGAGUAGCGAGAGACGAGAGAGUAACUCGUCCGCCGUGAACCCGAGGUUUCCUGGGCAAGGCUAAUCCUCCCAGGGUCAGUCGGGGGCUAAGGCGAGGCCGGUAGGCGUAGCCGACGCGCAGCAGGCAGACAUUCCUGCACCGCGCACGCGGCGCUACGACCGACGGGGCGACGGAUGGGGGUGGCUCGGCGGGGUUCUGGACGUCCCCGUGAUGGAGCGCGGCCCGCGGACCAGGGAAAUCCGGUCCGCAGAAGGGCGAGGCUCCGGACGAAGCACUUAAGCGAAGCGAGUGAGCCCGAGGUCCCUAGAAAAACCCCUAGGCAGGCGCGUGCGCGCCCGUACCGCAAACCGACACAGGUGGGUGGGUAGAACAUACCGAGGCGAUCGGGUCAACCAUGGUCAAGGAACUCGGCACAAUGGCCCCGUAACUUCGGGAGAAGGGGUGCCCGCGCGUACGUGAACGGACUUGCUCCGGGAGCGGAGGCGGGCCGCAGUGGAGAGGCCCAAGCGACUGUUUACCAAAAACACAGGACUCUGCAGAAGCCGCAAGGCGACGUAUAGGGUCUGACGCCUGCCCGGUGCCGGAAGGUCACGCGGAGGAGUUAGCCGAUUCGGCGAAGCCCCGAAGCCAAGCCCCGGUAAACGGCGGCCGUAACUAUAACGGUCCUAAGGUAGCGAAAUUCCUUGUCGGGUAAGUUCCGACCUGCACGAAAGGCGCAACGACUUGGGCGCUGUCUCGACCAUGGACCCGGUGAAAUUGCACUGGUCGUGAAGAUGCGACUUACCCGCGGAAGGACGGAAAGACCCCGUGAACCUUCACUGCAGCUUGGCAUUGGCCGCUGGUCCCGCGUGUAGAGGAUAGGCAGGAGGCACAGAUCCGGAGGCGCCAGCCCCCGGGGAGCCGCCCUUGGAAUACUGCCCUCGCGCGACCGGCGUCCUAACCCGAGGCCGUCAACCGGCUCGGGGACCGUGCCAGGCGGGCAGUUUGACUGGGGCGGUCGCCUCCUAAAGGGUAACGGAGGCGCGCGAAGGUCCGCUCGGGACGGUCGGCAACCGUCCUUUUGAAUGCAAGAGUACAAGCGGGCUUGACUGCGAGGCCAACAAGCCGAGCAGGUGCGAAAGCAGGCUCUAGUGAUCCGGCGGCCCCGAGUGGGUGGGCCG
rnacentral:rRNA from 1 species